AUUGAACGCUGGCGGCAUGCCUUACACAUGCAAGUCGAACGGCAGCACGGGAGCAAUCCUGGUGGCGAGUGGCGAACGGGUGAGUAAUAUAUCGGAACGUGCCCGGUCGUGGGGAUAACGUAGCGAAAGCUACGCUAAUACCGCAUACGAUCUACGGAUGAAAGCGGGGGAUCGCAAGACCUCGCGCGAUUGGAGCGGCCGAUAUCAGAUUAGGUAGUUGGUGAGGUAAAGGCGUCACCAAGCCGACGAUCUGUAGCUGGUCUGAGAGGACGACCAGCCACACUGGGACUGAGACACGGCCCAGACUCCUACGGGAGGCAGCAGUGGGGAAUUUUGGACAAUGGGCGCAAGCCUGAUCCAGCAAUGCCGCGUGCAGGAUGAAGGCCUU
rnacentral:rRNA from 1 species